rnacentral:lncRNA from 1 species
AAAUCGUAUGUAACACACCAAACAAUUGAGUGGGAAACUUGGUUAAUCGUAAAAGAGAUUACAUUUCAAGGUUCCAUGUGGUUUCUGCAGUCAAUUUAGGCGUUUUCACUUCCUCCGCCAGAUUCACAGACGCACAUACCUGUUUGAAAACAAGAAUCAACAAUCAAACCUUUCAUCGUGUUUGUCUAAACAUGCACUAAAGCUACUGCAAGAGAAAUCAAUACACACAACAAUCUAAAACACCCACACUGGAUCAUGUCUUAUGUCAAUAAGCCUAUGCAUCCCAUUAAAACUAACACUUAUGUCAAUAAGCCUAUGGAUCCCAUUAAAACUAACACUUAUGUCUUAAGUCACUGAUAGAUAUAGACUCUUUCGUAAUAUUUACCUUGAAAGAUCCAGUGGAUUUGGAGGUCCUGGACCACUCCAUACCAAGCAACUUACUAGACGUCUGAUAAGUAGCCUUGACAACAUCAUCACCAUAAACUCUGCGGGAAACCGAAAAAUCCCAGGCGUUUUUGGCAAAGUCGUAGCACGGCUCGAACGUAGCAAUCUUCCCAUGAGCAUAAGUAUACUUAAGCUUACAGUUGUUUGUUCCCACCAUGUGAUUAACAGAGAGUUUGUUAAAAAAGUAAAGUAUGUAGGUCUAAAAUUUUGCACCUAUUCUCCUUUGGUAGUUCGACCGCGAAAUUUUUUUCUGCAUUGUAUAUUUCCGGAAUAUGAGUGUGUGACUUGUUAGAAUUGACCCUAUGGAUAGUACAGAGAAGGGGGUCUGUCAUCUUUAUCAAGAUGGUUUUAUUUCGUCGGAUAUUCAUUCGAGUAUCUGGAGCACGAAAUAGAUCAAAUAGAUCACAAAGUUUUCGAACUAUGAUUCAUACUUAAUACUUAGACCUCGUAGCCGGACUUCUUUCCGUUCUAUCUUAUAAAUUUUCAUAAAUCAAUUUUUUUCUGCUUUUAAACUCUUAUUUAGAUCAAAGGACAAACGCUUCUUUGUAUUUUAUGUUUUUAAUCAUUAUAGCUCUUUUUUUUUUUAUUGAAUAAGUGAUGAUCCAAUGGUUCUCACUCAGUGAACUUUGGACUUUGAAGGUUUCAUUGAAUUAUCGUGGUUUUCGUAUGAAUCUGAGGUUUCAAUUAAUAAGUAGGGUCUUAACAAGAAAAUUCCUAUCAAUAAUAAAGAAAACAAGAAGAAAUCCGUAUUCCCAUUCCAUACAAAUACCAACUAAAAAAGACAAUAACGGUAGGUAAUCUAGAAGAUUCAAGAGGCCUGUAACGAUCAACACAACAUAAAGACGUAUGAGCUGACUUGAGUUUUUGGCAUUUAACCACAAAGAAGAGCUUUCGCAUUUUGACUCUUAAAUAAUAUUGAAUGAGAGAGAAGUUUAAAACUUUAUAUUCCAUAUCCGUUUCAAUCAGUAUUUGGGUCUUUUUUUUGUUUGAGCUGUACGAGAUGAAAUUCUCAUAUACAGUUCUUGGAGGGGGAGGAACCUUGGUUUACCUAUCUCAAUAAAGUUUAUGAUUGGUUCGAAGAACGUCUUGAGAUUCAAGCGAUUGCAGACGAUAUAACUAGUAAAUAUGUUCCUCCGCAUGUCAACAUAUUUUAUUGUCUAGGAGGAAUUACCCUUACUUGUUUUUUAGUACAAGUAGCUACGGGAUUUGCUAUGACUUUUUAUUACCGUCCAACUGUUACUGAGGCUUUUGCUUCUGUUCAAUAUAUAAUGACUGAAGCUAACUUUGGUUGGUUAAUCCGAUCAGUUCAUCGAUGGUCGGCAAGUAUGAUGGUCCUAAUGAUGAUCCUGCACGUAUUUCGUGUAUACCUCACCGGUGGUUUUAAAAAACCUCGCGAAUUAACUUGGGUUACUGGUGUGGUUCUGGGUGUAUUGACCGCAUCUUUUGGUGUAACAGGUUAUUCUUUACCUUGGGAUCAAAUUGGCUAUUGGGCAGUCAAAAUUGUAACAGGUGUACCUGACGCUAUUCCGGUAAUAGGAUCGCCUCUUGUAGAAUUAUUACGCGGAAGUGCUAGUGUUGGACAAUCCACUUUGACUCGUUUUUAUAGUUUACACACUUUUGUAUUACCUCUUCUUACGGCUGUAUUUAUGUUAAUGCAUUUCUUAAUGAUACGUAAGCAAGGUAUUUCUGGUCCCUUAUAAAUAAUAUAGAUUCUAGAUAUUUUUAAUUACUAAUUUAUCUUAUUACUUGGUGAAGGAACAAUCGUAUUUUAUUGCUAUAAAUAUGGAUUAUUAAAAAAAUAAGACAUGUAUUUGGAUAUUUCCCUUCAACUCCACAAUAUUGUAUUAUUUUUUUGACAUAAAAAGUUGAAGGGAAUUCUAUGAAGAGAAAAUGGAUUAUGGGAGUGUGUGACUUGAACUAUUGAUCGGGCCGUGCAGAAAUAUGACUUUAUCUGCUACAUUGGAAUUCACAACCAAAUGUGUCUUUGUUCCAACCACUGUGUAAGCCCCAUACAGGGGAUAGGCUGGUUCACUUGAAGAGAAUCUUUUCUAUGAUCUAUGAUCAUAAUACGAAGAGAAGUACUUGCAUUCAUCUUCAAGCUGCAAUUCCAAAUUCCAAAUUAAAUCUACGAGAAUCAUCUCUCCAAUUCCAUCACUAGUUAAUAAGUUCAAUCAUCAUAUAUCUCAUACCUUAAAACGCGGACAGCCAUAAAAUCGUCGACCUGGGUUUUUGUCAGUCCAAGCUUGCGUUAUAUUCGCCAGUAAGCCACAAUAACUAGUGAGAGAAUUGAGAGAGAGAGAAAAAGAGAGAGAGAGAUUGAAUUUUAAGGAAGUUUAUACUUAUAUGGAAGUUUUCCUCUUUGCUGAGGUAUAUGGCGGUUUAUACUUAUAUGGAAGUUUUCCUCUUUGCCGAGACAAGAGGAAUUAUCUGACUCGGAACUUGAAGUCAAAGGCUGGAGGAAGGAACCUGGAUCGGGGGCAGGAACCUGGAAGCUGGAGUAAUCUCUUCAUGGAUUAUUUUUCUCCAACAGCGAUCAUGAAGAUGAUGAGGAAUCGGAGAUUGAAGCAUCGAUCGCCACUCAACCUGAGAUAUCGAUCGACGAUGAACUUGUAGCAACGAUCGACAAUGAGUUGGAAACACCGAUCGACAGUGACCAUGCAUACAUAAAAAAAAACUCUUGAAGUGGGAGUUCCACUAAGUGGGGGACCCCCUUCAAAUGUUCCAAAGUGACUUGCCUCUGUAAAGCUUUAAGCUGGGCUGGUAAAUCAGCAGCGACCGCAGUGGCCAAGGAUUACCCAUGCUCACUUCCUGUCAUCGUCUUAUAGUAUUGGUUAUUCCCUCUUUUUAGCGCCAAUUUUUUAAGGUAAAAUAAAAUAUAUUUCUUUGUAAUACUAUUGAAACAUGAAGUAGUAUAAUCAGGGAAGGUGAAUAGAUUAAGGAUAUGUUUUAUUGAUCAAUAGAGCAGGAGUACAAUGUAAUGGUUUUGUAAACCCUAUAGUUUUAGCUACAUGUUUCUAUAGCCGAAAGCGAAUAAUAGUUAAUCCCUUUCUUGUAGGGUUUAGGGGUCUCUUUUAUAGCUCAUUGUAGUCAAAAUUUAAGUUUAGAUCAUUCCAUAUCGUAUCAUGAAAUACGAAAAGAUCGCCUAUUGAUAAAACUAUCCAUUUUAUCGGAGGCAUGUGAAGAAGUGAGGUUUCAUGCUCUAAACAAGAAGAAUUGCUGCCUAUAUUACCUAUCUUUAAUAGUUUUUAUGAUUGCACUUUUUUGCAGGCUAUUUUAUGAAAAAAUAAAAAUAUUUAUCAAGUACAAAACAGUUUAAAUGAACCUAUAAAAUCAUAUAUAUUAGAAGAAAAAUAAAACAAAAUUAAACUUAUAAAAAAUAUACUAAUUCAUUUCUUUAGUGAAAUAUUUGUAAUUAAAUCAAAACUAAUGUCAGACAUAUUAAAUUAAUAAAUUAACAUAAUUAUUGACACAAAUUUAAAUAAAAAUAUGUACAAAACUUAAAGGUGCAUAAAUUAUUUACAAAAGUAUAAAUUCUAAACCAGAACUUAGUAUGUACUAAACUCUAGUUUCAUUUUUUAUAGCUAUGGGCACAUUUAUCCGAAACCAAGAACCGAAGCAAAUAAAAACGAGCUUUGGUUCGAGUGUAAGAUUUACCCGGGCAGAUCCUAUAUCUCUAGAACUGAACAAUCGAAACCGAACAACCUAAAUCGAACCGGAGCCAAAAACCGAAUGAGUAUCCAAAUUUCUAAAAUAUAUAUACUUAUAAAUAUUAACUAUAUUUAAUUUUAAAAUAAUUAAAUAAUUUCAUUAUUUAUAAAUUAAAAUACCAAAAAAAAAAGAAUUACCAAAAUACUUUAUAUCCUAAAUAUUUAAAAUUAUCCGAAUUAUCAAAAAAAUUAUCCAAUAAGCAGAAACAAUCUAAUAUUUAAUCCGAAAAAUCUGAAUUUUCUUAUUUUUAACACGAAUUAAUCAAAUAUUAGCUUGUUUCCAACUUCGCUAUCCAAACCAAACAGAAUUCCAAAAUAACUAAACCAAAACCGAACAAAAUUUUCUAAAUAGGACUGAAGAACCUAAUCAGAAUCGAAUGCCUAAGGCUACUUAUUGCUAUCAUUUAGUGCUCUCUCAUCAUUUUUCUUAACAUUAAAAGCUCUUUAUCCCCAUCACCAAUCAGAUUUGACAUUCAUUCUUUAAUCUCAAAGUUGAGUCACAAUUUUUUACGUUUCAGAGUUAAUUUUUACAUCAAUGUGUACUUAUGUCAAACUUUAAUCCUCUAACAAACAAAACUUCAAAAGAAAAAUAAAUUGCAAAGAUAAUAGAAGCAUGGAUGAUGUUUCACGAAAUGUACCACAAAAUCUGGGAAGAUUCGCAAGGGCUAGUAAAAUCGUAUGUAACACACCAAACAAUUGAAUGGGAAACUUGGUUAAUCGUAAAAGAGAUUACAUUUCAAGGUUCCAUGUGGUUUCUGCAGUCAAUUUGGGCGUUUUCACUUCCUCCGCCAGAUUCACAGACGCACAUACCUGUUUGAAAACAAGAAUCAACAAUCAAACCUUUCAUCGUGUUUGUCUAAACAUGCACUAAAGCUACUGCAAGAGAAAUCAAUACACACAACAAUCUAAAACACCCACACUGGAUCAUGUCUUAUGUCAAUAAGCCUAUGCAUCCCAUUAAAACUAACACUUAUGUCAAUAAGCCUAUGGAUCCCAUUAAAACUAACACUUAUGUCUUAAGUCACUGAUAGAUAUAGACUCU